rnacentral:rRNA from 1 species
GAUGAACGCUGGCGGCGUGCCUAAUACAUGCAAGUCGAGCGAACGGACGAGAAGCUUGCUUCUCUGAUGUUAGCGGCGGACGGGUGAGUAACACGUGGAUAACCUACCUAUAAGACUGGGAUAACUUCGGGAAACCGUAGCUAAUACCGGAUAAUAUUUUAAACCGCAUGGUUCAAAAGUGAAAGACGGUCUUGCUGUCACUUAUAGAUGGAUCCGCGCUGCAUUAGCUAGUUGGUAAGGUAACGGCUUACCAAGGCAACGAUGCAUAGCCGACCUGAGAGGGUGAUCGGCCACACUGGAACUGAGACACGGUCCAGACUCCUACGGGGGGCAGCAGUAGGGAAUCUUCCGCAAUGGGCGAAAGCCUGACGGAGCAACGCCGCGUGAGUGAUGAAGGUCUUCGGAUCGUAAAACUCUGUUAUUAGGGAAGAACAUAUGUGUAAGUAACUGUGCACAUCUUGACGGUACCUAAUCAGAAAGCCACGGCUAACUACGUG